rnacentral:rRNA from 1 species
CUCAUUGUGCAUUUUAUUUUUUAGUGUGAGAAACAAUAAGCAUAAGUAGCCACUAGCAAAAUAACGUGUUAUCUACAUGCCCUAUUAUCUGCAACAAUGACAUUAGGCGAUGAAGAACAAUAUAUUUCCAAUGCAAUAUGUUAGCCAAACACACCCUGCCACGCCAAUCAUCUCAUGAUCCAAUAAAAUGUCUAGAAAAAUCUAUUGAAUGGCAUCAGUCCAGAUUUAUAUCUGGUGUGCUAGUAAAUCUGGACGAUCGAUGAACAUCAAACAUAUCAAGAAAAACAGUACAUCAAGGCAUCGACCUAAUUUCAGUAAGCAAAUCAACUCAAUUUAAAGAGCUAGAUGGCAGCUAAAAACUAACUCCAAAUCUAUCUAUAUUCUUAUAUAUUGUACGAAUAAGCUAACAACUAACUCCAAAUAUAUCAACACUCUUAUAUAACUCUGAAUCUAGAUGACAGCAAAUUAACACAAUUUAAAGAGCUAGGUGACAGACCAUUGUGGGAGUUGACUAUAAGCCACGCUCUUCCACUCGCAUCAGAUGUAGCCUAGCUCACACUACUCUAUGCAGUCGUCGACGCCAACUAUGCAUUCACAGCCGCUCUCACUCGCUGCUUUUGCUGGUCUCCU